rnacentral:lncRNA from 10 species
CAGAGACUGAGGGGCUGGGGUGGGAAGGGAAGGUCUGGCAGGUGGAUGGAGGGUGGUCGGGCAUGAAGGGUGCCUGCCAAGGGCUGCAGGGAGAGGAAGCAGGGAAAAAGAAGGAGUGGCUAGAACCUGGGGAGAGCUUCAGGUUCCAAAGAGGCUGGGGAAGCUCCACAUGACCCUCAGCAAACUCCGGCCAGCAGGGAGGGGUGGGAGGUGGAGCAUGCAGUCCACAGGGCUCAAGAAGGGGGUUCAGUCCAGAGAAGCAGCUCUGGAUCCAACAGAGAGAACAGGGGGCCUCAGAGAGAGCCGGGAGAAAGAAGCUUCCAGCCCAGGAGGCAGAAGAAGCCCCACUCAGUGUGCAGGGUUGGGAGAAGAGCUUCUAGCCCAGGAGGCACCAUUCAAAGGAAAGCCAGCCUUAGCCCCGCUCCUGGAGCAUGCGCGGACCCUGAGGAAUCGAAGCCUGUCCCGACCUCCAGAGGACACUUGCCUGGAGCCUGACUCUCCAGUGAAUCCCUUGAAUCAGAAGCAAACACAAAGGCUUCAAAGACCGGCGGUGACCGGAGGUGACCAGUCUGAGCCCAGCCCGCCCGCCGCAGUAGGGCUCAGAAACACAGAAAAAUACGUCAUAUCCAAAACACAGUACACCGGAGAGGACGUAAAGCAAGUACACGGAUAGAGCUGCGCCCCUGCCCGCUGUCACAGGUAAUGUGGUUGCCUGCAGUGUUUAUAAGUGUGACUUGAAUCAUGAACUUUUGAUGGGCUAGUGAGAUUCGCUGAGGGUUGGUUGAUUUGGGGGCUUUUUCCUCAAAACUGCACGUAGCAGCUUGGAGAGUAUAUGCUGGUUGGCCAAUUCAUCCCCAGAUAUUGUGGAUCAUAGACACCAAGAGAAUAUGUGACACUUUGAGAACAGAAAACACAUCAACACCAAAUGCCUCGCAACACCACAGGUGUCCAGGGCAGCGGCAGAAGCCAGGGUGCCCAGUCUCGGGGCAGGAGCCUCAUGGAUGUGGACAGGCCGAGGCAUCCACAGCUGGCUGAGGCGAGGGAGCGGCGCCGUCCCUGCGUUUGCAGGAGACACACGGCCAGGCUGAGGAGCAGGAAUAAGAGGCCCAGGAGCCGGGGGUGUGCCCUGUCUCAGGUCUGGCUGCAGAGGAGUCACAGGCCCCGGAGCCCGGUCUGGGAAGAGGGUGCUGGCAGACACUUCAGUCUCUUCUUUCCUCAUCGCGUAACCCAGCUCUGCCCAGAGCCCCCGCCCUGGGCUGACAGAGGCUCAUCCCAGCCAGGAGCCAGUCAGGCCCCUCCUGCCACACCCACAUCUACGGCAGCUACGCACCGACCGAACGGCUGCCUCACCCAUUAUCUCCACACUCUUGGGAUUUGGGGCACGAAGAACCAUGCGCAGCCCAUCAGGAGCCUGCGUUAUUUUAAGGUGAACUCUUGGGAAACAGCUGGGGAACUGCCUCUUCUUACUCUUUAAAAACCUACUGGUAACUGCUGCUGACUGAAGUGUGUAUUCAGGGCACCUCAGAUCUCUGCUCCUGGGUUGCAGACUCAAGCAUGGCUCAAAUAAACCCUCUACUUAGCUUAAUUUUGCAUCAGCUUCUUCCAUUCAGGCUGACACAGGCAGCACCACCUCCAGGUCUCUUGCAACGAGCAACUGCAAACACCCCUGUUCUCUGAGAUGAGAGGCAUGGAGCUCCCUGCCUGACGCUGCCUCCACCCUCACCACAGUCUGAAGAAGGCUGGACCAAUGGCUGGUAGACAGGAAUUUUGCACCAACAAUGGAUCUUGGGGGCAACGUGAAAAGUAGAUUUCUGACAUCUGAAAGGGAAGAUUUUCCAGUUGUAAACCAAAGGUAACAUCCUAAGCUCUCAAUUGACUGAGAGAAACCUGAAAAACUGAAUUCCAGGAGGGAGGGGGGACACUCCCAUUAUACGCCCUCCCGGUGGAGGGCAGCCAUGGCUGACCAGCACUAACUCCAAAAUGAGUAAGAACAGACCCUCUGUGGGGACCAAACUCCAACCUGACUCUGGAGCAGAACCACAUGACAUAGCCGGUCCUGAAGGAAAUCAAAGUAUUUCACUCCAAAAUGUUUCCUUGACAUAUUUUGAUAUGGCCCUGCAGAGCCUUUUGUGGGGGAAAUUUGCAUCUGUAGCGAGUCUCCAUUCAUAAUACUGCCAGGCCUUUCCCAGAUCCAGGAGAGUUGAAUCGAGCCUGACACCUUUGAGGUUGGAAAGGAGACAUUUUCCAUCCUUCCCUCAGAAGGCUACUAUCUGGAAGCUUCAUCUACACAAGAACCUCGGCUUUCACAACCCCCCUUAUCUUUUUUUUUUUUUUUUUUUUUUUUUUGAAACGGAGUCUCGCUCUGUCGCCCAGGCUGGAGUGCAAUGGCACAAUCUCGGCUCACUGCAACCUCCGCCUCCCGGGUUCCUGCCAUUCUCCUGCCUCAGCCUCCCGAGUAGCUGGGACCACAGGCGCCGCCACCACGCCCAGCUAGUUUUUUGUAUUUUUAGUAGAGACGGGGUUUCACCGUGUUAGCCAGGAUGGUCUCGAUCUCCUGACCUCGUCAUCCGCCCGCCUCGGCCUCCCAAAGUGCUGGGAUUACAGGCAUGAGCCACAGCGCCCGGCCCCCUUAUCUUAAUACAAGCAUCUCUUUCUGCUGACUUCCUCUUUAGACAAAGCUUUAUUAUUUCUACCAACCGCCAAUCAGGAAAUCUUUGAAUCCACCUCUGACCUGGAUGCCCCCCUUCAAGAUGUCCCACCUCUUUAGGCUAAACCAAGGUACACCUUCCACAUAUUGAUUUACGAUUUUACCCACAAUUCUUGCCUCUCUAAAAUGUAUGAAACCAAACUGUAAUCCGGCUGCCUUGGGCACAUGUUCUCAGGACCUCUGGAGACGGUUCCCUGGGCCGUGAUCACACUACUGGCUGAGAAUAAACCUUUUUAAAUACUUCACACGGUUUGGUUUUUCAGCUAACAUCAGGAAACACCGGUAUGGCCCUAACUGCCAGGACACCUUGCCCCUGGCCUGUGAGGGGAGCGGGUGGGGAUUUAGGCCAGUGGAAGCCUGGCUUGGCAUACUUUUGUUACAUGAAAAGGGUCCCCAUUCAGACCGCAAGAGAGGGUUCCUGGAUCUCGCACAAGAAAGAAUUCAGGACGAGUCCACAGUGCAAAGUAAAAGCAAGUUUAUUAAGAGAGUACAGUGGUGAAAGAACAGCUAUUCUGUAGACAGAGCAGGAUGUUCCCGACAGUGAGAGGAGGAACGCGUCCACCCUAGGUACAACGCUUGUUUAUGUAUAGGAUAAAAAAGGUCAUGGGGAGAUGUGCUCUGCUACAAGGGUUUGUGAUAAAGUAUUAAUUUUCUUAAUUACUAUAUUUUGCAAGAAUUCAUAUGAUUAUCUUUAAAGCAAAAUUAGGAAUGCCUUUGUUCUCAAGAUAUCAGGAUAUUAGGACACUCUCAAGCCUGGGUCU